rnacentral:tRNA from 1 species
GGGGCCGUAGCUCAAUUGGGAGAGCGCGACAAUGGCAUUGUCGAGGUCGUCGGUUCGAUCCCGAUCGGCUCCA